UACAUGUGGGGCAAGCGUUGUUCGGAAUUACUGGGCAUAAAGGGUGCGUAGGCGGCUUGUUAAGUCAGGGGUGAAAGCCCAGAGCUCAACUCUGGGACUGCCUUGGAUACGGGAUAGCUUGAGGAUCGGAGAGGCAAGGGGAAUUCCACGUGUAGCGGUGAAAUGCGUAGAGAUGUGGAGGAACACCUGUGGCGAAGGCGCCUUGCUGGCCGAUUUCUGACGCUGAGGCGCGAAAGCGUGGGGAGCAAACAGG
rnacentral:rRNA from 1 species